UGGACCAGUGAUGAUGUCUGAUGGCACAGGAGUCAUGGACGAUGAAAAAAUUUGUGUCUGAAACUCUGAGGUCCAA
ensembl:snoRNA